ensembl:processed_transcript
GCACAUAAUUAUUAUUCCACUCGUAGCGGCAGGUCCUGCCUUCCUCUCCCUCAUCCCACAUGCUCCAGUCCAGAUUCUGCACUCUGAAGUCCGGGUUGUAUUUACCCAAUAUGCAGGUUCAUUUUACACCUUUAUGGAGGAGGUCUGAAAAAAAGCAGAUUGGCUGGAAUGCUCAUAAACAUAAAUGCAAAGCAACUGGCCUGUAGGAGUGCAUUACAAUGGCUAAAGGUAUUGAACUUGGUCUCUCUCUGUCUCUGGGAAGAGGGCUGGCUGUGAGGUCCACUUGCUCUUUGGCUUAGAGAGAGAAGCUGUAGAGAGAUGCUGACAUUUGGGACUCCUUUCACAUUAUACACACUACAGAGACUUUUUUCCCUUCAUUUUCUUAGAUACUAUGUUAAGGCAGAAUGUAGUCAAAAAUAGUGCAUAGCCCCUGGCAACAGCUUAUUAAUCAAAGGAAGCUAGCAGGGCAUGGAUAUAGUACUGGAUUGGAGUGUGAUUCUGCAUAUAAAGCCAUGAGUGUGUCGGGCAGCCAAACAUUUCUUUAAUUCAUCAUAGGUUCUUCAUGCUUCGUCACGCUCUUCUUACAUGUCGUUGUUCGACUCUUAAGAAAGCCUGUUAGACCACAGAUUGUUUAGGGCUUUGGAGACUUGAAGCAUGCACUCACUUCCCAAUGGAAAAGCCUCAACGCAGAGCUGAUUACUGUCAGACCAACUGCCUGCCUCUCCUCAUUGUGAUACUGAAAGAAAUACUGAAGAAAGCUAAAAAAUAAAUAACCAUUGACUUCCAUAGUAGGAAAAAAUAGUAUGGAAGUCAAUGGUUAAAGUUUUCCAUCUAAUAGUGAGUAUAUUUCAAUUGUG